UUUGAGGCGAAAUACCCAAAAAGAAGUUUGUAAAAAAAUGAAUCCUCCUCAACAAUAUAGAACUUAUCUAAACAUGCUGUUGAAAAAGUAGGAAAACGUAAAAUAUGUAUUCUCUCGAUCGACCACCUGACGAACUGCCAUUACACAUUGUCUACCGUUUGGGAGUGUAAAUAUAUGUUUUUAUAGCAGUUGAUGUUUACUUGUUACUAAGUAUAAACGAACGCCCCGACUUUCAUCUGUUUGUCUAAUUCUGGUAAAUCUACUUACAGCCAGUCGAAACAUCUUGCAUUCAAAUUCCCUUAACAGUCAAACGCACAAUAUCUAAACGAAAUCGUCACGUCACUGGCACUGAAAACAACUGGAACGAUAACAGCAUUGUGAUUUGUUCAUACUUAUCCCCACUUUUGUAUGAGCACGUUUAAUAGGAAGGUUUUUAGAAAUGAAUUUAAAAAAAGCAUUCCAGUCGAUUUAAAAAUAAUUUAAAUCCUUGCUACUGGCAAAAUUGAAUGAAAAACUAUUAUUCGGAUCGCAGAAUCAUCCUCAUAGCACCUGCGUUCAUUGGUCCUGUAUAUCCGAUGUGUGAACAAUGUAAACGUUUUUGAUAUGAACAAGUUUGUUAAGGUUAUCAUGUUAAUUGUUACUGUGUAUACGCAAGCAAGGUUAUUAACUUCCAGUAUUAAGUAAUCGUUAUCAUUAUUUUCUAAUAUCGUGAACGAAUAUUGUUCAACCAGAGAUUCUACUAGUCUCUGCUUCUACUAAGCAGCCUUAUUUAGCUCUUCAAACAGCUGGAGUUGAAGAUAAAUGUUUCCCAUUAAAAAAAUUGUAGAAUUUUUCCCAUUAAAAAAAGUAGAAGUAGAAUAGCAAUCAGUGGCGUCCUAGCUUUUAUUUUCCACUCUCGAUAAGACCCAGUUUCGGCUAAAGCUUGUGGCGCUCACUAGAUGUGAUAUACUAUCAAAAUGCCGUUAUCUUGAACUUGAAUUGCUUCCAAACAUGUGAUAUUAGUAAUUGGAUUGAAUGUUUUGUGUGUUAUCGAAAUUGUAAUUUGCAUCUUGAUAUACUGUUUUGCUUGUUGUGUCAAACGUGGAACAGAAAAAAUGAAGCUCUGAGGAAUUUAAAAAUUGAACGUUGAAAAAAUCAAAUACAACGUAGAAAAUAAUCAAAAUCGAACCUGAAAAUGUACUUUAUGAUUCAACGGGGCAGCAACAAUUAAGAACAAAGACGAAAUCAUGAAAUAGGAAUAAUCCACAUGUUUAUCUUGCAAAAGUAAUGAAGAAAGAAUCGUUGAAUCCAUAUGGAAAGAUUACAGAGACUUAACAAAUUUCGUGGAACAAGAAAAGUCUUCGGAGACUUGCCGAAAAGUCCAAAUGUUCAAAUACAAAAAUUCAGCAGGAAUAAAUAUGUGUUAUAAAUGUACACCGAUGUUCCACUGCAGGUCAUCACAAUCGCCGGUAACUGCAAACGCGGUUGAAAAACCUUUAAUUUAUCCUUAAUUUCCUAAAAAUCAAAACGGCAUAAACUACUUUCUUUAUUAAAAAAUAACGUCCUUCAUACAUCACAACAAAUUAAGUACAUUAUUCCUGUCUUUCAAUUAUCUGAUUGAGAUCACAGUAAUUUAACCAAUUUGCAACUUGUACAAGUGGAUCACCUGGCCAAAUAAAGUGCUCAAAAUUGAA